GCUUACGGCCACACCCUCCCUGAGCACGCCCCGAUCUCGUCUGCUCUCGGAAGAUAAGCAGGGUCGGGCCCGGUUAGUACUUGGAUGGGAGACCGCCUGGGAAUACCAGGUGCUGUAAGCC
rnacentral:rRNA from 1 species